UUAUAGCCCUGCCGAGGCCGGCCCGAGCCAGUAGUGUCAACCCUUCCACGUACAUGCGCGCCGCCGGUUCGCUCGCCUCCGCGCGCCAGGCAGGGCAGCGCAUAAGUAAUGGCCCGUCCGUGCGCAAGCUCUCGGCGCAGGAUGGAGCUUCAGCUCCGUGCUCAACUCGGCAGCAUCGCCGUGGCUCGUGGCUAGCUGCGUGCGGUCACCGUAGUUGGAUCGACCGCGCGCGUGUGCAUGGAGCAGCUAGCCACGCUUCCGCGUGAGCUUGGGCUCGGCCGGAGUCCCUGCAACUCUGCAAGAAACUGACGGCGGGCAUGGAGAAAGCAUAUGCGUCUGCACCCCCCAUUUCGAGAUAGUUUCUUCACGGCUUAAGCCCCUGUCCAGUUGUCUGUCAAAGUCAAACUUGAGGUUAGCAGAGCACCUUGUGUCAGCCACCUUCUCCUUGUGUGAAUGGGGACUACGGAUAAGCCCCUGAUCCACGAAUGCGGACUACGGAUGCGGCGCGAAGAUCACCGGUUCAAAAUUCCCCAAAAUUGAACUGGACAUGAAACUCACACGAAUGUUAUUCGGAGGAAGAAACAGUUGUCAACUCUGAAGCCAUGUAAUCUGCCAUUGUUUUCUCAAGUCGAAGGUUGGAAUUUUAUUGAUUA